ensembl:lncRNA
AAAAAGCUGAAAAUGUUUUAAUUGCAAAUUAGAAAAACCUAAGAAAUGAGAAAAGAACAUUUAGAGUCAGAAAACAUCUGAAAGAAUAUUAAAAGGUCAUAUUCUUUGAAUCACUGAAUGACUAAAAUGUGAUCCCUCCACUUUGAUCCACACAGUUUAAAAAGUUUAAAUGCCUGAGCUUUGAAAGACAAGAUGUUGGAAAGAGAACAACGAUGGCGACGUUUUGAGGGUAAAAUGAUGGCUGUAACACUGUGGACACAGCAGCAGUUGAAAGAGAAGUGUUUAAGAUGAAUCUUGGCACAGUGGCAGGCAGAGCUCGUUAAGCAGGCAGGUGUGAGCCUGGUUGCUAUAGUGACCGCACCCAAUGGCUCCAUACACACGUACACAGACAUGCGCCUCACUUUUGCUGCUUAAAAUGAACAGAAAAGUCAGGCCGAAACAAAUCGUUCCCAAAUGAAAAGUAAAAGUCGUAUUGACAAAAUUCUUUCACCGUGAGCGACAGCAGCUUCUAGUCUACUGAAUUCUCAGUUUUCAUGCCUGUGGAGUUUAUUAUAUGGACGUGGUGACAGUGGAAAGACACCAUGCUCUUCUGAUUUUCAAACGAACCUUCUGAGCCAUUUUAACAUUAGAGUCUAUGGAAGAGUUGGAGGGAGGAGGCUGUGCAUUGGUGACAUUUAUGAAAGAACCAUAACACCUAGUACAAUAGUAAACACAUUGGAUGAAAGAGGACAGCGAUGGC